rnacentral:rRNA from 1 species
AAACCCGCUGAGGAGUGUGUAACAACUCACCUGCCGAAGCGAGCAGCUCCGAAAAUGGAUGACGCCCAAGCCAGCGCACCGCCCUCGCCUCACAGCACGCCGCCGUCGCGGCAGCAGGGCAGGGCGCCGGCGCGUAAGGGGACGCGGGGGCCUGCGGUGUCGCUCUUGGGGUGACCCAGAGCGAAGCGCCCUCCGGCGCAGAUCUUGGUUGUAGUAGCGAAUACUCAAUCGGGGUGCGAGCGGCCCCCCCGCCGUGUUUGGUUGAGGACUGGAGUGGAGCAGGUUUCCGUGCCAACAGUCGUUGAACGCGGGUCAGUCGAUUGCGAGCCAAG